GGUGUCACCUCUGUGUCACCUGUGUCACCUCUGUGUCACUCCUGUGUCAUUGAUGUCACCUGUGCCACCUGUGUCAUUGAUGUCACCCCUGUGUCACCUGUGUCACCUGUGUCACCUCUGUGUCAUUGAUGUCACCUGUGUCACCCCUGUGUGUCACUGAUGUCACCCGGGUGUGGUUGUUGAUGGCACCGAUGUCUCCGAGUCUCUGCGUCCCCAAAAAUCCAAAAUCCCCAAAAAAAUCCCCGAGUCCCAAAUCCCCAAAAAUCCCCAAAUCCCCAAAUCCCCAAAAAUCCCCAAAAAUCCCCAAAUCCCCAAAUCCCCAAAAAUCCCCAAAAAUCCCCAAACCCCCAAAUCCCCAAAAAUCCCCAAAAAUCCCCAAACCCCAAAUCCCCAAAUCCCUAAAUCCCCAAAAAUCCCCAAAAAUCCCCAAACCCCAAAUCCCCAAACCCCAAAUCCUAAAUCCCAAAUCCCAAAUUCCCAAAUUCCCAAAUUCCCAAAUCCCAAGUCCCCAAAUCCUCAAAUCCCAAACCCCAAAUCUCCCCAAAACCACCAAAUCUCCCCUCAAAAUCCUGCCAAAGAAACCCCAAAAAUCCCCAAAACACCCCAAAAUCCUGCCAAAAAAAUCCACAAAAUCCCCCCAAAAUCCCCAAAAAUCCCCAAAAUCCCCCAAAAUCCCCGAAUUCCCCGAAUUCCGCAGGCUGGCGCCGCUCUCCGAGUCCGACUCCGGCCGCUUCCGCUGCUGGGCCCGGGCGGGGCCGGGGCCGCGGCUGCUCUCGCGGCCCGCCACGCUGGAGCUGGCAGGUGAGCCCCAAAAACUCCCCAAAAACACCCCAAAAACACCCCAAAAACACCCCAAAAACACCCCAAAAACACCCCAAAAACACCCCGAAAACACCCCAAAAACACCCCAAAAACACACCCAAAAACACCCCAAAAACACCCCGAAAACACCCCAAAAACACACCCGAAAUACCCAAAAACACCCCAAAAACGCCCCAAAAACACCCCAAAAGCACACCCGAAAUACCCAAAAACACACCCAAAAACACACCCGAAAUACCCAAAAACACACCCAAAAAAACCACCCAAAAACACCCCAAAAACCCACUCGAAAUACCCAAAAACACACCACAAAAUCUCCCCAAAAUAUCCCAAAAAUCCACCCAAAAUCGCCCCAAAAUAUCCCAAAAAUCCACCCAAAAAAUCCACCCGAAAUACCCAAAAACACACCCAAAAACACACCCGAAAUACCCAAAAACACACCCAAAAAUACCCCAAAAAACUCCCAAAACCACACUCAAAAUAUCAAAAAAAACCACCCAAAACCACACCCAAAAUACCCAAAAAUACCCCAAAAUCACACCCCAAAUACAAAAAAAAUCCCUCCAAAAAUCCCCCCAAAAAUCCCCCCAAAAAUCCCCCCAAAAAUCCCCCCAAAAUACCAAAAAUCCCCCCCAAAACCACACCCAAAAUACCUCAAAACACACCCAAAAUACCCAAAAAUACCCAAAACCCCCCAAAAAUACCCAAAAAACCCACCCAAAAUACCCAAAAAGCCCACCCAAAAACCUCCCAAAAUAUCAAAAAAAAACCCCAAAGAUCCCACCAAAAAUGCACUCAAAAUACCCAAAAAAAACCCAAAAAACCCACCCAAAUAUCCCCCAAAAAAUACCCAAAAAACCACCCAAAAAUCCCCACAAACCCCCCAAAAAUCCCCCAAAAAAACCCCAAAAAUACUCAAAAAAUGCACCCAAAAAUGCACCCAAAAAAUCCCCAAAAAAUCCCCCAAAAAUCCUGAAAGAUCUGCCAAAAAAUUCCCCCAAAAUUCCAGAAGAAUGCCCUGAAAAAUCCCUGAAAAAUCCCAAAAAUCCACCCCAAAAAAUCCCAAACGAAUCUGCCGGAAAAUCCCCCCCAAAAUCCCAAAAUCCCUCCAAAAAAUAAAAAAAAACCAAAAAAUUCCCCCA
rnacentral:lncRNA from 1 species